rnacentral:tRNA from 1 species
AGAAAUUUAGGUUAGAUAAAAGACCAAGGGCCUUCAAAGCCCUCAGCGGAAGUGAGAAUCUUCCAAUUUCUG